GUUCACUACGGAAAUCUGCUGUGAAGCUCUCAGUUCAGUGAAAUCUGUCAAGUCCAGCAACAAUGAAACUCUUUUCAGUGUUUAUGGCUGGUCUGGUGCUCAUUGGACUAAGUCUUGCUCUUCCAGUCCAAGAGGAAGACGCCAGGGUCAAACGCUCCAGCAGCAAUGAAG